CUGUGAAUAUUCUCACGCUUCUGAUUUUGUAAUAGUUAGGGCAGGCCAAUCAUUCACUAUAUUAAGACCAUGCUUGUGUGUCCCCAGACCUAGUUCUUUCCGUCAGUCUGGCUUUAUAAAUGCUGAUGAUAAAC
rnacentral:snoRNA from 1 species